rnacentral:rRNA from 1 species
UACGAGUGCCUCAAGCGUUAUCCGGAAUCAUUGGGCGUAAAGGAUGUGUAGGUGGUCAUAUUAGUCUCUUGUUAAAUUCUUCGGCUUAACCGGGGGCAUGCAGGGGAAACGGUAUGACUUGAGGAUGCGAGGGGUCUGCGGAACUCAUAGUGUAGCGGUGAAAUGCGUUGAUAUUAUGGGGAACACCAACGGCGAAGGCAGCUCGCUGGGACGGUACUGACACUGAGGCGCGAAAGCGUGGGGAGCGAACAGG